UUAUUGUAAUUGGAAAAGAUGAAAAAAGAGAAUUCAACUCCUUCAUGAAGUAAAUAAAUCAUUUGCAUUGAUUGCCGUGAAACAUGUCUUUUUCUUUGUUCAGAUUCUUAUGAAUUUUAUCCGUUGCUCAGGCUAAUCAAGAAUGGGGAAAUAUAUUCCCUGUGUUCAAGGAAAUAUCUAUCACUAGCAAUGCAUUAGAAAGGGUUCUUGCUUUGGAGAUUGAGCUUGCUGAAACAUUGCAGGCCAAGAAGAAAUCAAGCAUGCAAUUUCAGAGUAGGAUUGUUGUUAUUUUGAAGCUCAUCCAACAGAGUCAACGUUUGGUGCCUGAUGAAAUUCAGUUGAGCCAAGUUCUGGAUUUCAGCCUUCAUCCUCAAGAACUCAAGUCUGUGUCUUAUAACACGAUAUACCACGCAAUUAGGCAAGUUUCUUCCAUCUUCUAUUCCAUUUUAUUCAUUUUAGCAGUCACUGUUGCUUUUUGGUACAUCAUUGAUCAAUUGACAUUGGUCCAAGUAACAUAAAAAACAUAUAAAAAAUGGAAAUGGAGAGAAUAUUAUUGACUGUUGAUAACUCGAUGUAACUCAUCCAGUAGGUUGAAAAUGACACCAAGUAGUGUUUUAAUUAAGCUCUUUGCUGUUUCUGGAGAUGCUUCAACAAUGCAUACUAUGCAAGAGUUGGAGGAGUAAGCACAUCUGAAUUUAAUUCCCUCUGGUUUGUUGCAGGGAACAGCGUCAGUGGUCCUCGCCAGACUUGUUGCCACUACAAAAAAAGAAGUAUAAAAGAGAAAGGAAGUCCCAAUCUCUCAGAUCUAAAAUUCCAUCCGAAGACGCGAAGUUCUACGGAGUUUGCUGUCACAGAAGGAGGAAACUUUUGGCCUCCAAAUCUUAUUCAUCAUCAUUUAGCUAAGCUACUUGUCUUGUAUAUUCAUAUUUUACGUCGUAAAAACAGCACUUAUUAGAUGGUUUAAAUACAUUAUUAGAUAUUAACAUAGUUUAGGGAAUUGGAUGGUAGAUUUGACUAAUUAGUGUUUAUUACAAUGCUUGUAUUUUGGUAAGUUUAGUAAGACAAGGUUUUGUAUAGGAGUUAUUACUUUUGAUUUUCAAUAAUAAAAAAUUAUAUAUUAUAUUAAUAUU